rnacentral:rRNA from 1 species
AGUAACACGUGGAUAACCUGCCUUAUACUGGGGGAUAACAGCCAGAAAUGGCUGCUAAUACCGCAUAAGCGCACGGCGCCGCAUGGCGCAGUGUGAAAAACUCCGGUGGUAUAAGAUGGAUCCGCGCCUGAUUAGCUAGUUGGCGGGGCAGCGGCCCACCAAGGCGACGAUCAGUAGCCGGCCUGAGAGGGCGACCGGCCACAUUGGGACUGAGACACGGCCCAAACUCCUACGGAAGGCAGCAG